rnacentral:tRNA from 1 species
GGAGAGAUGCCGGAGUGGUCGAUCGGGGCGGUCUCGAAAACCGUUGACCACAUUGUGGUCCCAGGGUUCGAAUCCCUGUCUCUCCG